rnacentral:rRNA from 1 species
GAUGAACGCUAGCGGCAGGCUUAACACAUGCAAGUCGAGGGGUAUAGUUCUUCGGAACUAGAGACCGGCGCACGGGUGCGUAACGCGUAUGCAAUCUACCUUUUACAGAGGGAUAGCCCAGAGAAAUUUGGAUUAAUACCUCAUAGUAUGUGAGAAUCGCAUGGUUUUCAUAUUAAAGUUCCAACGGUAAAAGAUGAGCAUGCGUCCCAUUAGCUAGAUGGUAAGGUAACGGCUUACCAUGGCGACGAUGGGUAGGGGUCCUGAGAGGGAGAUCCCCCACACUGGUACUGAGACACGGACCAGACUCCUACGGGAGGCAGCAGUGAGGAAUAUUGGACAAUGGGCGCAAGCCUGAUCCAGCCAUGCCGCGUGCAGGAUGACGGUCCUAUGGAUUGUAAACUGCUUUUGUACAGGAAGAAACACUCCCUCGUGAGGGAGCUUGACGGUACUGUAAGAAUAAGGAUCGGCUAACUCCGUGCCAGCAGCCGCGGUAAUACGGAGGAUCCAAGCGUUAUCCGGAAUCAUUGGGUUUAAAGGGUCCGUAGGCGGUUUAAUAAGUCAGUGGUGAAAGCCCAUCGCUCAACGGUGGAACGGCCAUUGAUACUGUUAAACUUGAAUUAUUAGGAAGUAACUAGAAUAUGUAGUGUAGCGGUGAAAUGCUUAGAGAUUACAUGGAAUACCAAUUGCGAAGGCAGGUUACUACUAAUGGAUUGACGCUGAUGGACGAAAGCGUGGGUAGCGAACAGGAUUAGAUACCCUGGUAGUCCACGCCGUAAACGAUGGAUACUAGCUGUUGGGCGCAAGUUCAGUGGCUAAGCGGAAGUGAUAGGUAUCCCACUUGGGGAGUACGUUCGCAAGANUGANACUCAAAGNAAUUGACGGGG